GAGCGCCCCGCAAGGGGAGCGGCAGACGGGAGAGUAACACGUGGGAACGUGCCCUUCAGUUCGGAACAACCCAGGGAAACUUGGGCUGAUACCGGAUACGUCCGUAAGGAGAAAGAUUUAUCGCUGAAGGAUCGGCCCGCGUCUGAUUAGCUAGUUGGUGGGGUAAUGGCCCACCAAGGCGACGAUCAGUAGCUGGUCUGAGAGGAUGAUCAGCCUCACUGGGACUGAGACACGGCCCAGACUCCUACGGGAGGCAGCAGUGGGGAAUAUUGGACAAUGGGCGCAAGCCUGAUCCAGCCAUGCCGCGUGGGUGAUGAAGGCCUUAGGGUUGUAAAGCCCUUUCGGCGGGGAAGAUAAUGACGGUACCCGCAGAAGAAGCCCCGGCUAACUUCGUGCCAGCAGCCGCGGUAAU
rnacentral:rRNA from 1 species